ACGGGAGGCAGCAGUAGGGAAUUUUCGGCAAUGGGGGAAACCCUGACCGAGCAACGCCGCGUGAAGGAAGAAGUAAUUCGUUAUGUAAACUUCUGUCAUAGAGGAAGAAGGUGGAUAUAGGGAAUGAUAUCCAAGUGACGGUACUCUAUAAGAAAGCCACGGCUAACUACGUGCCAGCAGCCGCGGUAAUACGUAGGUGGCGAGCGUUAUCCGGAAUUAUUGGGCGUAAAGAGGGAGCAGGCGGCACUAAGGGUCUGUGGUGAAAGAUCGAAGCUUAACUUCGGUAAGCCAUGGAAACCGUAGAGCUAGAGUGUGUGAGAGGAUCGUGGAAUUCCAUGUGUAGCGGUGAAAUGCGUAGAUAUAUGGAGGAACACCAGUGGCGAAGGCGACGAUCUGGCGCAUAACUGACGCUCAGUCCCGAAAGCGUGGGGAGCAAAUAGGAUUAGAUACCCUAGUAGUCCACGCCGUAAACGAUGAGUACUAAGUGUUGGGUGUCAAAGCUCAGUGCU
rnacentral:rRNA from 1 species